rnacentral:rRNA from 1 species
ACAGAGGGGGCAAGCGUUAUUCGGAAUUAUUGGGAGUAAAGGGCGCGUAGGCGGUGCUUUAAGUGAGAUGUGUAAUCCCCGAGCUUAACUUGGGAACUGCAUCUCAGACUGGGGCGCUAGAGUACUGGAGAGGGUGGUAGAAUUCCACGUGUAGCGGUGAAAUGCGUAGAGAUGUGGAGGAAUACCGAGGGCGUAGUCAGCCACCUGUACAGUAACUAACGCUAACGCGUUAAAAUGUUGGUACCAAACAG